AAACUCGUCCGGCGGCGUGCGGCUCCUUCCGAAGACGCUUUCAUACACGCGACGCGCACAACCACUACGCACAACGCGUACAACCUGCCGAACGAUUCAAUUGUCUUCGAUCAUUCCUGCGACGGGGUCAACGGUCUCUCGAGGAGGUAACGAGCGGUUAAAUUUAUUAUUCCUCGCAUUGCGCGCAGUCGGCUGUGACAUUUGCGACAUUCGCAACGGUUCCGGACGCGAUGCGUGAUUCACGCUUCGCGUCCGCAUGGAUGGACGAUUUCUACGUUCAGCAGAUUUGAGAUUACACACGUCGGCGACAGAGGCCUUGCGGGAAAAAGCGACGGACGGCGCGAGCUAACGAAUCAACGUACUCGCGACGAUCGAUACUCUGCGAUCUGCCAGUCAGCACAGUCAGCUGUGCCACGACUUGGUACAGCUCUCAUCAUCGCUCGCCGACCCCGAAUUGCACAUCCGGGUCGCUUAUUUAAAGCGUGAACACGCGGCCAUCGCGUGCGUCUUGCAUUCGCGCCCGUCAUUGUGCCGUUUUACCCGCACAUAUUGGCGCUUCGUCGAGAGCAGAGCGCACCGCUUUAGAGAGCCGUGCAUGCAACGUGUCUCGUAAACGAUCGCCAAGGUUCCAAGUCGCCAAUAGCGAGAAGCUUGAAAAGCUGAUCAGACCAAUGAGUUCAGUCGUUUUUUGAAACGUAGUCGCUUUUUAGGAGAAAAAAAACAACUGUCAGCAACUGAAGACAUUAAUUUUUAUGUUACAUGCAUAAUGUAACAUGUGAUUAACUCUCAAGGUUCUGUCACGGCACGUGUACUUGCGAUUUUAGAAACCGGUUGGACGUGACGAUGCUAUGUUCUAAACUCUAAAGCAUUCGGUAGUGUUACACAAUGCUGUUUCGUCGCUUCCGAUUAUUACCACCUGAAAGUUCAUUGAAAUAAAAUAAAACAUUGUCAUAUUGUUAGCGA